CGUCUCCUCCCCAAAAUUGACCCCUCGUUUUUCUGUCUCCGUUGCUGUUAGGUCAACUUUUAGGCUCUGUUUGCAUUAUUACAAGAUUUAGAGAAAAAGAGAAAAGUAGAGAACAGUCAUCAGAGACAAAAAAUAGGGCAGAAGAGAUAAGUCGCGCAGUGUCUAUCGAGGUCUUCAACACCAAAAUAAAGUUCCAGAUAGAACAAAGACAAUGGUGCGAGGAAACUUACGAGAAAAAAGUUUUCAGAACUGAAGGGAGACGUUAGUGUCCAAAUGUAUAAGACCUACUGAUUACCAAGCGGGAAAAAGAAAAAAGUCUGCGUGCGGGCAUAUGAAAUUUAAGGCUAGCAAGACAAAAAGGAAGAUGCUAAAAGCUUCCAGAGAACAAAUACAGGCAUGAGAAUUCUCCAUCAAGGCAUGAGAACCAGCUUGGCUGUAGGCUUCUCAUCAGUAGAACUGGAUGUUAGGAGACAAGAAUGACCUCAAAGUCAGGGAGAUGACUGUGAACUUGGAAUUUUAUACCAAGCAAAACUAUCGAUAAAAUAUGGGGGUAGAAUGAAAAAGGAAAACAUAAACUGAGACAGGUUUAUCUCUCAAAUACUCUUUUUCAGGAUGUUACUUGAGAAUGUGGGCUGGCAAAACGGGAAUUAUCCGAGAAAUUGGAGCAGGUUGGCUCUGUGAACAAUAGAACUAAUUCAGAAAAGCAAUGAAGAUACAGAUUAGCGCCCCUCAACCAUGGCUGCAUAUGAACAUCACGGGAGCAUCAGUGAACCUCAGUGCCCAGUGUAAUACAGUGAAACCCAGCAGGUGCUAAACUGCACUCGCUUCGACCCUGAAGGACUGGAGUUGUUUUACCACAACUUGGGAGAACGUUAAGAAGUCCCUUCAGUUGUGCUGUACAAGAGCCAGGUGCGCAAACAAGGCGUCUGCUUUAGGAUCAUCAUCUUCAUUAGAAAACUCUGCAGGUGCUUGCUGGCUCGUCACGCUUGUGCUGUGACUCCCCGACUCACAGCAGGCCAGGCUGUUCCCUGCACAGCACACUGCUGCCCCUGCUCCAGCUAGAGCGUGAGCCCAGGAUGGUAGCGGCCUAGACUGUCCUGUCACUACUGUUCUCUGUGGUCACCUCGGCACACAGCACAGAUUUGCUGUUUCGUGACUGAGACAGGGACAUCAUGCGCCAUUUGGACAACCCAAAAUCUGCGAUCUGUAAGGAAAAAGAAUGCUGUGUUUCUGGUUAGCAUUCCAGUAAGAAAUCACUUCAAAAACUGUAGAAAGAUGUGAAUUUCCAUUUAAUUUCAUUUAGCACGUUUGAAGAUGUUUUGCACUUCAUUUAAAGGCCCUUUCAAGAAGAAAGCCUUUGUGACAUCGGGAGGAUGCUUCAAGAGAAAUCCCACCCUAAUAACGCAAUACAGGAAACCAAAAUAAACACUGACGUUGAAUGUUACUUCCUCUGGUAUAUACAGAUCCCCGUCUACUUGAGUAACUGAAUCUUUUAAUCUGUAAAAAGGUUUGUUUAGAGAUCUAAAUAACUGCUAUAAGCUACUGACGGAAAAAAGUUACACCCUGGUUACUGUUAUGGUACUUUUCUAGGAAGAGGAAAGAACAUGAUGAGUGAACCCAAAGAACAAUUAUCUGCACUAGAGCCCAGAGGUCCCUGCAUUUAUUGUUCCCGCCUUCUAAGUGAGGAAAUAGCCUGUGAGUCAGCUGCACAGCCUGGCCCUAUGCUCAGACUACGGGCUGCCCAUGUGAACACUGCAGGAAACAGGCGGGUGAAAGCGUGAUGCAGUGCUGCCUGAGUGUCCCACUGGUCUUUACGGUUCCUCUGACAUCAAUUCAUUUCCUACCCGAUUUGGUGAAGAAUUUUAGAUUAUGAAAACUGUUAACAUGGCACACAACUUAAAUACAUUAAAAUCUUGAGAAGCAGCAUCCAAAACAGGAGGAUCGAUUUGCUUAAGAAUACCUAACAGUACCUUCAGUGCUAGAUUUCCAUCUGUUUGUGUGCUGAUUCUAAAACAUAUCCACCCUGUGUCACCACCCACCACCCUGCAAAGUGGACUCCUUACACAUGCACUUGCCCAGUGCUUGCUCUACAGAACUCAAGGCCCAGGGUAAACAGACCACACCCUGUGUAUCAGGGAGGCCUGGAGUAUGGUACACAAAAGGUGGGGAAACCUCUACAGGUGUCUCAAGUCUAUUGUGAGAUCUGGCCCAUCCAAGCCUGAUGCCGAGAGAUGGCAAAGAAAAGCCACACGCAGGUCAAAGUGCAGUGAACACUGGAGGGCUGAGGUGAGGAAUUCAUCUGAUCCUGGAGACUCACAGCCUCUGGCCAAUCAGGCACCUAGCCUGCUGCAGUUUCACACGGAUGACGGAAGGUGGAGGAGAGGCCAGAGGCGGAUGCUGCAGUCGGCAUAACUCACUAAGAACAAUGCAGGGCCCGCGGAGGGAAAUGUUCAGUACGGACCCGACCCACGUACGGUCACCGGCCUACCGGAGAUGGCUGAAAUGUUUUUCAGUAAACAGAAACUAACGCUAGACUUCUCUCAAGACCUAAGCAUGGCACUAAAAUUGUUCCAGGAUGUGAGAGGCUGUCCAAAUUUUUGCUCAUUUAAUAGUUCUGAUUCGGUUUGCGGUUAGCUCGGGAGGGGGGGGGGCAGGAUUUCCUGAGAGAGGGAGAGAGAACCUGAGCUGUUAAGUUGAAUGUGAUGCCCAAACUUAC